rnacentral:lncRNA from 1 species
UUCCUUUUGUGUUGUCAUACUGAAAUUAUGCAGUGAGAUGCAUGCAAUGCUAUUUUGUGUUGCUGUUGAGAAUUCUUAACCCACCAUUGUAUUUGGGGACAUCCAAAUCAAAUCACAGGAUUACAUGAUGGUCCGUUGUGCACUGUUGUCUCUGCAAUGGACAAAGGAACAGGCACUCCACACCCAAUGGCAAGAAUACUAAGGACAUCAUCUUGAUGACUGAUUUGAAAGAAUGCCUUCACUUGGAAAUAAGUCACCAUCCAGAAUGGAAGUCAGCCAACAUUCAGAAAUGUAGAAUAAAGUGAAACAUUCUAACCUUAUGACGGAAUUUUUUUUCUGAAACUAUCCUGAUUCAAAGUGUUUUACCCUGUCAUCUCCAUAAACCACUGUCUUAGAAAAGCAUCUCUGUUAAGAAUGCUGUCUUUGGACUCGGUUAGACUGAGAUUUGAUUACAGCUUCGCCACCUACUAUGCUGUGCAACAUUAAGGCAAGAUGUUUUGCAUUUUCAAGAUUCACAUUUUAAAUAUUUUCUUUCCUCUUAGAGUUUAAAUGGGGAUAAAAUAAGAUUAUGCAUGCAAAACUGUUAUAUGAUACUUUGUAUAUAAAAAUACUCAAAAGUUUAGACAUGGUUAUUAAUUAACUAAAAUAUUUUUGUGUCACACCAUUUGUUUUAAUCUGCAUUUCAUGUCCAGAAUGUUGCCAA